rnacentral:rRNA from 1 species
GGACCCGACUGCUAUUUGGGUGAGGAUAAGCCAUGCGAGUCGAAUGGGAUACCUAAAUUUCCCAUGGCGAACUGCUCAAUAACACAUGAUCAACUUGCCCUAUAGAGAAAAAUAACCUCGGGAAACUGAGGAUGAUGUUUCAUAGUUGAAAAGGCUUGGAAAAGUUUUUCGACCAAAGGGAUAAAAAAAAUGGUUUUUAUCCGCUAUAGGAUAGGAUCGUGCUCGAUCAUGGUUGUUGGUGAGGUAACGGCUCACCAAGCCGAUAAUCGAUAGGGGCCGUGAGAGCGGGAGCCCCGAGAUGGGUACUGAGACAGCGACCCAGGCCUUACGAGGCGCAGCAGGCGCGGAACCUCCGCAAUACACGAAAGUGUGACGGGGUUACCCAAAGUGUUCAAUUAUGAACUGUGGUAGGUGAGUAAUGUCCCCUACUAGAAAGGAGAGGGCAAGGCUGGUGCCAGCCGCCGCGGUAAAACCAGCUCUUCAAGUGGUCGGGAUAAUUAUUGGGCUUAAAGUGUCCGUAGCCGGUUUAGUAAGUUCCUGGUAAAAUCAGGUAGCCUAACUAUCUGCAUGCUAGGAAUACUGCUAUACUAGAGGGCGGGAGAGGUCUGAGGUACUACAGGGGUAGGGGUGAAAUCUUAUAAUCCUUGUAGGACCACCAGUGGCGAAGGCGUCAGACUGGAACGUGCCUGACGGUGAGGGACGAAAGCCAGGGGAGCGAACCGGAUUAGAUACCCGGGUAGUCCUGGCCGUAAACGAUGCAUACUAGGUGAUGGUAUGGCCAUGAGCCGUAUCAGUGCCGUAGGGAAACCGUUAAGUGUGCCGCCUGGGAAGUACGGUCGCAAGGCUAAAACUUAAAGGAAUUGGCGGGGGAGCACCACAAGGGGUGAAGCCUGCGGUUCAAUUGGACUCAACGCCGGGAAACUUACCAGGGGAGACAGCAGAAUGAUGGUCAGGUUGACGACCUUACCUGACGAGCUGAGAGGAGGUGCAUGGCCGUCGCCAGUUCGUGCUGUGAGGUAUCCUGUUAAGUCAGGCAACGAACGAGAUCCGCGCCUUUAUUUGCCAGCAAGAAGUCACGACUUCGUUGGGAACACUAGAGGGACCGCCAUCGAUAAGAUGGAGGAAGGAGCGGGCAAAGGCAGGUCAGUAUGCCCCGAAACCCCUGGGCUACACGCGGGCUGCAAUGGUAUGAACAAUGGGCUGUGACUC